UACAGAGGUCUCAAGCGUUGUUCGGAUUCAUUGGGCGUAAAGGGGGCGUAGGGGGCGCCGUAAGUCAGGUGUGAAAUUUCGGAGCUUAACUCCGAAACUGCAUUUGAUACUGCGGUGCUUGAGGGCUGGAGAGGAGACUGGAAUUUACGGUGUAGCAGUGAAAUGCGUAGAGAUCGUAAGGAAGACCAGUGGCGAAGGCGGGUCUCUGGACAGUUCCUGACACUGAGGCACGAAGGCCAGGGGAGCAAACGGG
rnacentral:rRNA from 1 species